AUGAACAUACUGAUCAGUAGCCCUAGCAUUCAGUCCUGGCUUCUUGGCCACUUGAAUAGAGGAGACAGAUGUACAUACACAGGUAGACUGACCGACCAAUCGAUCACGCAAGGCGGUCUUGGCGGUGCGGCGUUGAGAUCGAUGGUCGAUCAUCGCCUCUUAGCGGUCGCGGCCGACGAGGGAGAGGAGGAAGGUCCGGUAGUUGCCGGAGGUCUCGGAGUGGAUGGCGUCGGCCAGCGAGCGCUUGUACUUCUUGUGGUACUCGGCCUUGAUGUACUGCAUGUCCACCUCCGCCCUGGUGACCACCACCCGUAUCAGCGUCGUGUCGCUUGUGCCCAGCCCCUUCAUCGCCUUGUGCAGCGCCUUGGCGAAGUACCUCGCCGGGCUCUCGGCGCACCGGAGGAUCGUCAGCAGCCCCAACUCGAAGGUGCCCGACGUCUCGCUCUUCACAGCCACCUUGUCCAGGGAGCGCGCGUAGAGGUGGUGGUAGGCGUCGGCGACGGCGGCGAGGUGCGCCCAGCUGCGCUCGGUGAAGACGCGGAUGAAGGCCCGCUCGUCGGUGCCCAGCCGCUUCUCGCCGGCGCGGUAGAGCUCCCUCGCGUCGCGCGCCGCCGCCGACGGGUCCACCUCCGGGCCCUCGUACCGCGGGAUGCCCAGAUGAGCGUAUGCGUAUCGAUGGUGCUGUGGAGGCAAACAAAGACGUACCUUCUGGUGGUCGCCGUAGGUGCGCUCGGUGACGUCCUGCUCGAGGUAGCAGCCGAAGCGGGCGCGGUAGGCCUGCUUCAUGAUCUGCAGCUGCGACGGCGUCCGGGAGCAGAUCACCUCCGUGGCGGCGCGCAGGUCGGCGAUGUCGCCGUUGAGGGACUGGUUCAGUAUCGUGGCGUCGCGGCCCACGGGGUCCAGCACCCACAGCAGCAUCGCCUUCUGCACAAGGAACCGGCACCCCCAAGCAGAGAGGUCAUUUCGGGAGCAAAUACAGUACUAUGCUAUGCUUCUUCUUUUUUCGAAAAGGGAUACUAUACUAUGCUAUGCUUCUUCUUUUUUCGAAAAGGGAUACUAUACUAUGCUAUGCUGUCUGUGUGA
rnacentral:rRNA from 1 species